AAAUUGAAGAGUUUGAUCAUGGCUCAGAUUGAACGCUGGCGGCAGGCCUAACACAUGCAAGUCGAACGGUAACAGGAAGCAGCUUGCUGUUUUGCUGACGAGUGGCGGACGGGUGAGUAAUGUCUGGGAAACUGCCUGAUGGAGGGGGAUAACUACUGGAAACGGUGGCUAAUACCGCAUAACGUCGCAAGACCAAAGAGGGGGACCUUCGGGCCUC
rnacentral:rRNA from 1 species